CAGCAAUGCCAUAGUGGCGCACGGGUGCGUAACACGUAACUAACCUACCYAUAACUGGGGGAUAGCCCGCCGAAAGGCGGAUUAAUACCGCAUAAGCUCUUGAGCUGGCAUCASCUKAUUAGUAAAGAUUUAUUGGUUAUAGAUGGGGUUGCGGGUCAUUAGCUAGUUGGUUGGGUAACGGCUGACCAAGGCGACGAUGACUAGGGGAGCUGAGAGGCUGGUCCCCCACACGGGCACUGAGAUACGGGCCCGACUCCUACGGGAGGCAGCAGUAGGGAAUAUUGGGCAAUGGGCGAGAGCCUGACCCAACCAUGCCGCGUGCAGGAAGAAGGCUUUCUGAGUCGUAAACUGCUUUUGACAGGGAAGAAUAGAGGAGUAACGUGUACUCUGAUGACCUUGCAUGCAGAAUCAUC
rnacentral:rRNA from 1 species